AUAAGCCUCAAGUGAGGGUUUCGCAAAACUACCCGGUGCAAGGCCUGACGAGGGAAGGGGAGCCGCUGGAGCUGACGUGCGCAGCUUUCGGAAAGCCACAGCCUACGGACAUGAGGUGGUUAAGAGUAGAUGAUGAGAUGCCUCAACACGUUGUAGUGUCUGGUUCAAACCUUCUCAUUAGUAACCUAAACAAAACAGAUAAUGGUACAUACCGCUGUGAGGCUUCAAACGCGGUGGGGAAAUCACAUGCGGAUUACAUGCUGUUUGUAUACGAUCCCCCCACAACUAUCCCUCCUCCCACAACAACCACCACCACUACCACCACCAU